rnacentral:rRNA from 1 species
AGUGAACGCUGGCGGUAGGCCUAACACAUGCAAGUCGAACGGCAGCACAGUAAGAGCUUGCUCUUACGGGUGGCGAGUGGCGGACGGGUGAGGAAUACAUCGGAAUCUACUUUUUCGUGGGGGAUAACGUAGGGAAACUUACGCUAAUACCGCAUACGACCUACGGGUGAAAGCAGGGGAUCUUCGGACCUUGCGCGAUUGAAUGAGCCGCUGUCGGAUUAGCUAGUUGGCGGGGUAAAGGCCCACCAAGGCGACGAUCCGUAGCUGGUCGGAGAGGAGGAUAGGCCACAUGGGAACGGAGACAGGGACAAGACGACUAAGGGAGGGAGCAGUGGGGAAUGGUAGACAAUGGGGGGAAGCAUGAUACAGCGAUAGCGCGUGGGUGAAGAAGGCCCUCGGGUUGGAAAGCCCUUUUGUGGGGAAAGAAAAGCAGCAGGUUAAUACCACGCGGUAGUGACGGUACCGAAAGAAGAAGCACCGGCUAACUUCGUG